rnacentral:rRNA from 1 species
AACAGGGAUUGCCCUAGUAACGGCGAGUGAAGCGGCAACAGCUCAAAUUUGAAAUCUGGCCUCGGCCCGAGUUGUAAUUUGCAGAGGAUGUUUCUGGCGCGGUGCCUUCCGAGUUCCCUGGAACGGGACGCCACAGAGGGUGAGAGCCCCGUAUGGUUGGACACCAAGCCUGUGUGAAACUCCUUCGACGAGUCGAGUAGUUUGGGAAUGCUGCUCAAAAUGGGAGGUAAAUCUCUUCUAAAGCUAAAUACCGGCCAGAGACCGAUAGCGCACAAGUAGAGUGAUCGAAAGAUGAAAAGCACCUUGAAAAGGGGGUUAAACAGUACGUGAAAUUGUUGAAAGGGAAGCGCUUGUGACCAGACUUGCGCCGGGCGGUUCAUCCGGGGUUCUCCCCGGUGCACUCCGCCCGGCUCAGGCCAGCAUCGGUUCUCGUUGGGGGAUAAGAACGACAGGAACGUGGCCCUCCUUCGGGUGGGUGUUAUAGCCUGUCGUACGAUACCCUGACGGGGACCGAGGUUCGCGCUCCGCAAGGAUGCUGGCGUAAUGGUCAUCAGCGACCCGUCUUGAAACACGGACCAAGGAGUCGUCCAUUAGAGCGAGCGUUUGGGUGUCAAACCCGCACGCGUAAUGAAAGUGAAAUUAGGUGAGAGCUUCGGCGCAUCAUCGACCGAUCCUGAUGUUCUCGGAUGGAUUUGAGUAAGAGUUUUAACGGACGGACCCGAAAGACAGUGAACUAUGCUUGUAUAGGGUGAAGCCAGAGGAAACUCUGGUGGAGGCUCGCAGCGGUUCUGACGUGCAAAUCGAUCGUCAAAUAUGAGCAUGGGGGCGAAAGACUAAUCGAACUGUCUAGUAGCUGGUUACCGCCGAAGUUUCCCUCAGGAUAGCAGUGUUGACCUUCAGUUUUAUGAGGUAAAGCGAAUGAUUAGGGACUCGGGGGCGCUUUUUAGCCUUCAUCCAUUCUCAAACUUUAAAUAUGUAAGAAGCCCUUGUUACUUAGUUGAACGUGGGCAUUCGAAUGUAUCAACACUAGUGGGCCAUUUUUGGUAAGCAGAACUGGCGAUGCGGGAUGAACCGAACGCGGGGUUAAGGCGCCAGAGUGUACGCUCAUCAGACACCACAAAAGGCGUUAGUACAUCUUGACAGCAGGACGGUGGCCAUGGAAGUCGGAAUCCGCUAAGGACUGUGUAACAACUCACCUGCCGAAUGUACUAGCCCUGAAAAUGGAUGGCGCUCAAGCGUACCGCCCAUACCCCGCCCUCAGGGUAGAAACGAUGCCCUGAGGAGUAGGCGGCCGUGGAGGUCAGUGACGAAGCCUA